rnacentral:rRNA from 1 species
CUCUCGUUAAGGAACUCGGCAAAAUGACCCCGUAACUUCGGGAGAAGGGGUGCUGGUAGCAAUACCAGCCGCAGUGAAUAGGCCCAGGCGACUGUUUAUCAAAAACACAGGUCUCUGCAAAAUCGAAAGAUGACGUAUAGGGGCUGACGCCUGCCCGGUGCUGGAAGGUUAAGAGGAGAGGUUAGCGCAAGCGAAGCUUUGAAUUGAAGCCCCAGUAAACGGCGGCCGUAACUAUAACGGUCCUAAGGUAGCGAAAUUCCUUGUCGGGUAAGUUCCGACCCGCACGAAAGGCGUAAUGAUUUGGGCACUGUCUCAACGAGAGACUCGGUGAAAUUUUAGUACCUGUGAAGAUGCAGGUUACCCGCGACAGGACGGAAAGACCCCAUGGAGCUUUACUGUAGUUUGAUAUUGAGUGUUUGUGUCACAUGUACAGGAUAGGUAGGAGCUGAAGAAUCCGGGACGCCAGUUUCGGAGGAGGCAACGGUGGGAUACUACCCUUGUGACAUGACCACUCUAACCCGCACCCCUCACCGGGGUGGGAGACAGUGUCAGACGGGCAGUUUGACUGGGGCGGUCGCCUCCUAAAAUGUAACGGAGGCGCCCAAAGGUUCCCUCAGAAUGGUUGGAAAUCAUUCGUAGAGUGUAAAGGCAGAAGGGAGCUUGACUGCGAGACCAACAAGUCGAGCAGGGACGAAAGUCGGGCUUAGUGAUCCGGUGGUACCGUAUGGAAGGGCCAUCGCUCAACGGAUAAAAGCUACCCUGGGGAUAACAGGCUUAUCUCCCCCAAGAGUUCACAUCGACGGGGAGGUUUGGCACCUCGAUGUCGGCUCAUCGCAUCCUGGGGCUGUAGUCGGUCCCAAGGGUUGGGCUGUUCGCCCAUUAAAGCGGUACGCGAGCUGGGUUCAGAACGUCGUGAGACAGUUCGGUCCCUAUCCGUCGCGGGCGUUGGAAAUUUGAGAGGAGCUGUCCUUAGUACGAGAGGACCGGGAUGGACACACCGCUGGUGUACCAGUUGUUCUGCCAAGAGCAUCGCUGGGUAGCUAUGUGUGGACGGGAUAAACGCUGAAAGCAUCUAAGCGUGAAGCCCCCCUCGAGAUGAGAUUUCCCAUCAUUUUAAAUGAGUAAGACCCCUGAGAGACGAUCAGGUAGAUAGGCUAGAAGUGGAAGUGCCGCGAGGCAUGGAGCGGACUAGUACUAAUCGGUCGAGGACUUAACCAC